ensembl:lncRNA
CAGCUCCCUCCAGAUGUGUCUCCGCAUUAAACAACCUCUGCAGGCCCCUGUUGUUCGCGCUGAACCGGGACAGCGUUCUGGUUCCGCACACAAUCCCGAACCGGAAGCUUGAACCGAGAAGUCGCUUCUCCGGGUGAACGCGAACGCCGCGUGACGUAACACAAAAGGUGCGGUCCCCGGCGCGGGCGCGGCGGUCGCGUGACGCAGCAAGGUCACGUGUUCCAGGUGUGGUCCGCGGCCGGUUUUCUCUGUGCGUGUGUAUGUAUGUGUGUGUGUGCGCGCGCGUGAGUCUCAUUUGUUUGGUAGCGCGUCCAGUCACGGAGAGGAUCCCCGAUCAUGUCUUUCGACCUGUCUGCAGCUGUUGGUGGGAGUGAAGAUGUGGUGAAGAAGGAAGAAGCUCAGAAGGAUGAGAUCUCAUGGCCCUGGAACAAGAACAAGGAUAAGGAGGGCAGCAAGGGAAAGUCCGGCAAAGACGACAAAAAGCACGAAUCUGGCAAGGACAAGUCCGACAAGAAGCACGAAUCUGGCAAGGACAAGUCCGACAAGAAGCACGAAUCUGGCAAGGACAAGUCCGACAAGAAGCACGAAUCUGGGAAGGACAAGUCCGACAAGAAGCACGAAUCUGGGAAGGACAAGUCCGACCAAAAGCACAAGUCAAAGGACGGGGAACACAAGAAGAAAAGGGACAAAGGUGAAGGAAACCAAUCUGGCUCUUCCUCAUCGUCGUCCUCCAGCAGUGACGAGGAGUGAUGCUUCCAGCGCCGAUGGUCUCUUCUAACCUCGUCUGUGAAGCAAAGUGACUGUGUGCAGUUGUACCGACGUUCCUUCCUCUUGUUGAUGUAUAAAUAAACCUGAUUGAACGCUGCUUCUCGCCAUAAACUUCCUGUGUUGCUUAAAGUGUGUUUAUUCCACCACAGCGGCGUGAAAAACCCUCACCAAGGUCGCUGUUUGUCGCUGCACGCGUUUAUAAUUGUCCGGAUCGUGUUGAGAUAACCCCCCCAAAAAAUGAGUAGUCUGUCUUUAGAAAAUGUACAUGAAUAAAUCAGUUAAAAAAAAAUGAUUAGAAAGCUACAAAACUUCAGAACAGUCGUCAUGCUGCGGACGACGUUUCAUCUCCACCUGUAGGCGUGUGUUCUGAGCAACGCGUGGAUCCUCAUCCUGCUCCAACGUUUGUCUGUUAAAAGGAACAGGAUGCUGCUGUCAGGCCCGACGGCAUUUUGCCCUCAAGAGAAAAUAAUUAAAGUGGACAUGUUUUUGUUCCAAAGCAAACAUGUUGUAUAAUGUGAACGUUCAGUCCCAGCCUUCUCCAGGGUGGAGUAGGAGUAGCAUUCUACCCCUCAUAACCGUAACACUACACUGGGUGAACGCUCAAGGGGAGCGGCGGUUUGGGGGGCGGGGUUAGGCUUGAAUCACAUGCUUGAGGUGUGGCUAAUCCAGGUACUUAAGUUUGAGUCCGUGUGGUCACUGUGGUUUGUGAACAGGAGACACGAUGGAUCGCGCAGGUAAGCUCAAUUUGACUGAACGUACUUAAGAUCAACACCUUGAAUACGUGUCUUUGUUGACUAAAGUAACACGUUUUACGCCUGGUAAAUCGUCGCAGGCCGCAGGAUUUAACAGCCGUUACUCCCAUUUCAUUACUCGCCAAAGGGGCUUUGGAAUAUAUUUUUAAAUGUACAUUCAUGUGUCAGAAAGUUGUAUCUUAUUUGCAGCCGUUCUCUUUUAUUCUAACCCGGUUUCCCUUUUCAUUCUGACCCGAACAGGUAAAAAGGACAAGGUGAGAGAUUUGCAUGUUUGCUUUAUUAUCUGAGUGAUUAGUGAUUCUGUGACGUCACAAAGCGUCUCUUUGAACGUCCUACCGCUGCAUUAUUACGACCAGUGCACUCGAACCUCUAUCGCUGUGACAACGGCGACACGAUCAAUGAUCCGGUCCACUUUUGCACCCCCUUAGGGAGAGUCCAAGGGGAAGAAGGACGACAAAGCGUCCAAGGAGAAGGGCGGCAAAGACAAAAAGAAGGACGAGGAGAAGAAGAAGAAGAAGGCGAAGCCUGAAGGGAAAGGCUCCGGCUCCUCAUCUUCAGACUCUGACGAGGUAACACACCCCAACCCCCCCAAACCUGAUUUCAAAGGGUGGCAGUAAAGUGUGUCACAACACGCCCUCCUGUGUGUCGUUUUCUUCCGUUGCGUCUGUUGCCACAACGAUUCCACGAGCUGCGACGACCUUUCUGAGUAACAGCGUUGUCCUUUUUGUCGUUUCAGAAGUGAUGUUGAGGCGGGAAGGACAUCUCGUCUCUCGCGAUCACGUCCACAAACAAAAUGAGUCCUGAGUAGCGCCAAAAGUGUCGUGCUUGUGUGAACAGACAUGCUGAUUCUGUCAAAAUAAAGUUCAUUUUCUCACCACAAGAUUGCAGUGUUUUAUUCAUUUUUAAGAUUUAUAAUUGAAGAUCUGGAAGCUGGCUGGGAUCGACUCCCGUCCCCCAGUGUGCAGGAUGGGCCGUUUGACGAUGGAUGAUUGAAGAGUACGAG